AUUGAACGCUGGCGGCAGGCUUAACACAUGCAAGUCGAGCGGGGUGAUGGUGCUUGCACUAUCACUUAGCGGCGGACGGGUGAGUAAUGCUUAGGAAUCUGCCUAUUAGUGGGGGACAACAUCUCGACAGGGAUGCUAAUACCGCAUACGUCCUACGGGAGAAAGCAGGGGAUCACUUGUGACCUUGCGCUACUAGAUGAGCCUAAGUCGGGUUAGCUAGUUGGUGGGGUAAAGGCCUACCCAGGCGACGAUCUGUAGCGGGUCUGAGGGGAUGAUCCGCCACACUGGGACUGAGACACGGCCCAGACUCCUACGGGAGGCAGCAGUGGGGAAUAUUGGACAAUGGGGGGAACCCUGAUCCAGCCAUGCCGCGUGUGUGAAGAAGGCCUUAUGGUUGUAAAGCACUUUAAGCGAGGAGGAGGCUCUUUUGGUUAAUACCCAAGAUGAGUGGACGUUACUCGCAGAAUAAGCACCGGCUAACUCUGUGCCAGCAGCCGCCGUAA
rnacentral:rRNA from 1 species